rnacentral:rRNA from 1 species
AGCUCUCCGAGUGGUAGGGAUGAUUAUUGGGCUUAAAGCGUCCGUAGCCGGCUUCGCAAGUCUUCCGUUAAAUUCAGCAGCCUAACUGUUGAGCUGCGGGGGAUACUACGAGGCUAGGAGGCGGGAGAGGCCGACGGUAUUCUCGGGGUAGGGGUGAAAUCCUAUAAUCCCGGGAGGACCACCAGUGGCGAAGGCUGUCGGCUAACACGCGCUCGACGGUGAGGGACGAAAGCUGGGGGAGCGAACCGGAUUAGAUACCCGAGUAGUCC